CGUGUACUGCGUCUUAACUUGCUGUGAAAUUGCCACUUGUGAGAUUCUUUGUGCGAUAGUUGUGGCUGAUUUUUUAGCUAUCCGCCAUUUUUAUUUGAUUAAAAGGUUUCACUCAGGGGUUAUUGUAAGUGUUUUAAUCUUUUAUCGUUAAUUAUGGAGGACGAAGCACAGAAGCAAGAAAUUCUAAAGCGUCGGCAAGAAAUUGAAGCAGCCGUUAAGUCUUUCAAUGAAUUUAUUUCGGACAGCAAGGCAGAAGAUGUUCAACCAUAAACGGUACAACCAGCAGCGCAAACACAAAAAAAUACGACGCUCGGGUCUGUUGGCGUUGACACGCGAACGUCAAGCUCGGCGGUAGUAAAGCAAGGUCCUGGAAAUGGACAAGGAAACGACGGAGAGAGCGACGUUGUAAAUGAUGGGUCAGCUGAAGGAUCAACUCCUUCAGCUGAUAAAUCAGAGUCAGCAACCAUCAAUGGAACAAAAUCUGAAGUUAAGCUUCCAAAACGACAUCAAGCUGCCGGGAGAGCGCGAGCCAACUGGCGCCGUCGAUACCGAGGAAGGGGUGGAAAAAACAAUUUUG